GUUUACAGACCGAUGCAGAGCUGGAUAAACACUGAAGCUUCAGUGUCCACCACAUGGUGACCUGUGGGGGAGACAGCUCUCUACAAUGUUUAGAAUUUAGACUGCAGUACCCAUUUUAACCACUAGGGGUCAGAGUUACAUACUGCUCCUUUAAACGUUUGAUGAAUUUGUAAACUAAAUUAUUUUAGGCAGGUUGUUCCAGAGUAGAGCAAUUUAACACUAACUCAAAAAAAAUGUUUCAGAUGUGUUUGAUAAGAGGUCGGCCAAAGAGCUGAAGAAGAACUCGUAUUUUAAAAAGAUUGACAACAUUAAAAAGUUGCUCAUGAGAGUAAGACGGCGAGCAGGCGUUCGCUUGUGACUCAAAGUCGGUUUCUGUUUCGUAAAUCUCCCUUCAGCUGUAGAGUGAUGAGUGUAAGGGAAUCAAAACAGGAAACAGGAAGUAGUUUUCUCAGAUUUAUUUGAUCCUUUACGUCGUACAGAAACAAUGAGGACUGAUGGUGUGAAGGUGUCGGCAGAAUAAAAGCAUGAGGAAGAAGCCGGCGGCAGAGAGACGUUUUUUUCUACCUCCGGACACGAUCCGAUACAAAGACGAUAACGUGGAUUAGUGCGACCUGCUCCUUUAAGAGGUCAGAACUGUUGUUAAACUGUGAGAGGAAACGUUAAAGCAAGAAAAACAACUGUACAUCAAUAAGAAUAUUUUCAAAAUAAGAGCGUCGUAAAAAUUACAAUCCUCCAAUAAAUACAAAGCUCCACUUAAUAAA